rnacentral:misc_RNA from 1 species
GGCCAAACAUUAUUUAUCUGGACAUACAUUGUCUAUACUACAAUGCACCAGGUGAUCCACUGGCCAGAAUACAAGAUCAGCACAUAUGGGCCAUGACAAAUGGAUGGCGCAAAGGAGAUUAAAACUACUACAACGACAUAAAUUGGACUUAAUUCAUUGAGAACAUAUCACUUAGAAUAGCUAAUUCAACUAAAAGCACCUAAGAAGGGCUUAUUUCAAUCCACACAGGAACGCCAGAAUUGGCAAUAGUUUUAAUAAAAAUGAGAUAUAUCCUCUCCAAAAUGUCACUCUGAUACAAUUCCAUCUUAAUGAAGCUCUCUGUCCAGAGCCUUCGCUAAUUGAGAUCAGGUUUAGCUCACAAGAACAAACAGUGGCUUAUCUCCUAAGCGCUCACGGCCCUUCAAUUCUGGCAACUCAAUGACGCAUGCGCAUUCGACUACCUCAACUCCAACACGCUCAAGAAGCCUAAUCGCAGCACUUAGAGUCCCUCCAGUCGCAAUUAGAUCAUCUACCACGAGGGCACGUUCACCAGCUUGCACAGCACCUACAUGCAUCUCAAUCUUGUCUGUUCCAUACUCCAAAGAGUACUCUUCUGAAAUAACCUCCCCAGGUAACUUCUUGGGUUUCCUCAUGGGGACAAAUUUUGCUCCAAUAGCCAAU